rnacentral:rRNA from 1 species
GACGAACGCUGGCGGCGUGCCUAAUACAUGCAAGUAGAACGCACAGUUUAUACCGUAGCUUGCUACACCAUAGACGGUGAGGUGCGAACGGGUGAGUAACGCGUAGGUAACCUGCCUGGUAGCGGGGGAUAACUAUUGGAAACGAUAGCUAAUACCGCAUAAUAUUAAUUAUUGCAUGAUAAUUAAUUGAAAGGGGCAAUUGCACCACUACCAGAUGGACCUGCGUUGUAUUAGCAUGUAGGUGAGGUAACGGCUCACCUAGGCGACGAUACAUAGCCGACCUGAGAGGGUGAUCGGCCACCCUGGGACUGAGACACGGCCCAGACUCCUACGGGAGGCAGCAGUAGGGCAUCUUCGGCAAUGGACGAAAGUCUGACCGAGCAACGCCGCGUGAGUGAAGAAGGUUUUCGGAUCGUAAAGCUCUGUUGUAAGGGAAGAACGGGUGUGAGAGUGGAAAGUUCACACUGUGACGGUAUCUUACCAGAAAGGGACGGCUAACUACGUG